rnacentral:rRNA from 1 species
AUUGAACGCUGGCGGCAGGCCUAACACAUGCAAGUCGAACGAGUGGCGGACGGGUGAGUAAUGUCUGGGAAACUGCCUGAUGGAGGGGGAUAACUACUGGAAACGGUAGCUAAUACCGCAUACCAUCAGAUGUGCCCAGAUGGGAUUAGCUUGUUGGUGGGGUAACGGCUCACCAAGGCGACGAUCCCUAGCUGGUCUGAGAGGAUGACCAGCCACACUGGAACUGAGACACGGUCCAGACUCCUACGGGAGGCAGCAGUGGGGAAUAUUGCACAAUGGGCGCAAGCCUGAUGCAGCCAUGCCGCGUGUAUGAAGAAGGCCUUUUGGUUGUAAAGCACUUUAAGCAGGGAGGCGUUACCUGCAGAAUAAGCACCGGCUAACUCUGUGCCAGCAGCCGCGGUAAUUC